UGAGGAAUAUUGGGUCAAUGGGCGGGAGCCUGAACCAGCCAAGCCGCGUGAGGGAUGAAGGCCCUAUGGGUCGUAAACCUCUUUUGUCAGGGAACAAAAGCGAGUAUGUAUACUAGUCUGAGUGUACCUGAAGAAAAACGCAUCGGCUAACUCCGUGCCAGCAGCCGCGGUAAUACGGAGGAUGCGAGCGUUAUCCGGAUUUAUUGGGUUUAAAGGGUGCGUAGGCGGCGGUGCAAGUCAGCGGUAAAAGCCCGGGGCUCAACCCCGGCGAGCCGUUGAAACUGCAGUGCUAGAGAAGGCGAGAGGUACGCGGAAUGCGCAGUGUAGCGGUGAAAUGCUUAGAUAUUGCGCAGAACUCCGAUUGCGAAGGCAGCGUACUGGCGCCUGACUGACGCUGAGGCACGAAAGCGUGGGGAUCGAACAGGAUUAGAUACCC
rnacentral:rRNA from 1 species